rnacentral:lncRNA from 1 species
GGUGUUCGAACCCCCCUAGUCAGAAACAGAGGGUACAAAAAAAGGCAUAAAAAAAUUUCACUGGGUACAUCCAUAUUUAUUUCCAGAGUCCUUAAAAGAAUAGAAAACCCAAAUUCCAAAUAUCCGAUCGUUUACGAACAUUUUGGUCAAUUACUAGAAAACUCUGCUUGUGGCAACCAGGGUUAGUACAUUCAUAAAAGCACUCAGGGACUUUGUCCCAUUGAUGUAUUCUUACAAUUGGCGUGAAAACAGGUCACCAUUUCAUGAAUAAAAACUCGCCACAAAACAGAAUCGCAAUCUGCUUCUAGUUCAAAGGGUGUCGUUCAAUACAGGAGAUGAUCAUAGAGAUCUGAUGAUUGUACAACACCAAGAAUUUAGUUUCAUCCCGUGAAAGUAACUAACUGUUGUCCUGCAUCCACUGCACCCAAUUAAAGCUCUUUUAGAUACAAAUUUUCCUUUACCUAUUGAUAAAGAACACACAAUCAAAAUGAAAAUGCAACCCUGAACGUUCACUCUGCUUAAAUUGGCCCAUGUUUAGUUAUCUAUAGAUUAAUAAUGGUGGAUCAGAAGAUGAUGAAAGGUGCUUCUAAAAACUGAGGUGAAGAUUGGUCUGAGGGGUUCGGACUAAUACAUGGCAAAGCCGUUCCAUAUUUUGAAGUGGCUAACUAACUAGUUUAGACCAACAUGCAAUUGUAGUCCAACUUAAGAGAGUAACAACAGAGUCCCAGAUAUCCACAAGGCAAAAUAGGAUCGGGAGCUUGAGAAGCUAAGCGUUGCACUUAUAUACCAAAAACCCAUUGAUAGAUAUAUUAGAUAAUUCAGGUCUGAGGCCCACAGAGACAGCAAGAAAAUGCCGGCCAGAUGAUCUAGUAAAAACUACAAGCACUAUGAAACAAGAGGUCUUCCAUUCCAUAGGGAUAUAUGCAUCUGAGGAUAAAAGGGCGAAAUACCCUUAAUUAGAAAAUGCAGACAAGCAUGCUUGAACGCGUUGGAUUGCUUGUCCAUGGCUCAAGAUUGAUGGACAAAAUAUAAAGGCAAUAAAACUGUAUAGAAAAGUAUGGAGUUACUCUAGCUCAAUUCAUGUUCAGCUUGAUCUACGGACAGCUUAAGAUUGACCAGUCAGGAAUUUAACCAAGCUCAACCUCAAUCUCAAACUUAUUAAGUAAAUCAGACUAAGCCUUAACCUACUGUUUUUCUUGGUUAGAUUUGCUUACCCUCCACGCAAAACCCCAAAAAGAGGAGUUAAUGAAUUUAAUCAGGAGUUAAUGAAUUUAAUCAUGCAAAGGGGAAAAAAUAAAUAAAUAAUUUGAUAAAUUGAAGUACCUUUAUAACCUAGGAAUGAUGGACUCAUUAUGAGUUCCACAAUUUUGAUGCUACCUCAAAUUUCGUUGAUAUAAAGGGUAAAAAUUAGAUACGAAGGCUCGGAUUUUGAAAUUUAAUGGAUUUAGGAGAAUAAAAUAAAUUAGGGCACAUUCUCACCGCUCGUGGAUUACAAUUUUGCUUACAAGAACGGUGAUUUGACGAAAAUCUUCUUGCUGAUUUGUUUUUGCAACGUGUUUUCCAAUUUGUGAAACAGAUUAUCAAUUUUCCCCAAAUUUGUGAUUUGACGUAAUUUUCAGUUUGCCCCCUCCUUUUAGUGCAAUUGUCAAGGUUUUUACCUGUUUAAUUAUCAAACUGAAUAAAAUUUCACACCUAGUUUGUUGAAAAAUUAGAAAGGGGUGUUCGAACCCCCCUAGUCAGAAACAGAGGGUACAAAAAAAGGCAUAAAAAAAUUUCACUGGGUACAUCCAUAUUUAUUUCCAGAGUCCUUAAAAGAAUAGAAAACCCAAAUUCCAAAUAUCCGAUCGUUUACGAACAUUUUGGUCAAUUACUAGAAAACUCUGCUUGUGGCAACCAGGGUUAGUACAUUCAUAAAAGCACUCAGGGACUUUGUCCCAUUGAUGUAUUCUUACAAUUGGCGUGAAAACAGGUCACCAUUUCAUGAAUAAAAACUCGCCACAAAACAGAAUCGCAAUCUGCUUCUAGUUCAAAGGGUGUCGUUCAAUACAGGAGAUGAUCAUAGAGAUCUGAUGAUUGUACAACACCAAGAAUUUAGUUUCAUCCCGUGAAAGUA